UGGAGCGUGUGGUUUAAUUCGAUGCGCGAAAAACCUUACCAGGGUUUGACAUGUGGGUGGUAGGGAACCGAGAGGUGACCGACUCUUCGGAGAGCCUUCACAGGUGCUGCAUGGCUGUCGUCAGCUCGUGUCGUGAGACGUUCGGUUAAGUCCGCUAACGAGCGCAACCCUCGUCGUGUGUUACAAGUGUCACGCGAGACUGCCGGUGUCAAGCCGGAGGAAGGUGAGGAUGACGUCAAGUCAGCAUGGCCUUUAUAUCUUGGGCA
rnacentral:rRNA from 1 species